UUGACCUCAAAUCAGGCAAGACUACCUGCUGAACUUAAGCAUAUCAGUAAGCAGAGGAAAAGAAAACAACUGUGAUUCCCUUAGUAACUGCGAGUGAAGCGGGAUAAGCCCAUCGUUUAAUCUUCUUGGACCUAGUUCAAGACGAAAUGUAACGGUAUGGAUAGGUUCUCUACUAAGAAUGUCUAGUCAAAGUCCUCCGGAUUGAGGUGCCAUAGAGGGUGACAGCCCCGUAUGUGACUAGAUAAACUUAGGUAUGUGACCAAAUCCGAGAGUCGGGUUGUUUGGGACUGCAACCUAAAGUAGGUGGUAAACUCCACCCAAGGCUAAAUAUAGACACGAAACCGAUAGCGAACAAGUACUGUGAGGGAAAGUUGAAAAGAACUCUGAAAAGAGAGUUAAAAGUACGUGAAACCGCUAACGGGGAAGCGGAAGGCAGUGUCGAGAUUCUGUGAGUGAGAUGUUAUAUGUUUAUGGGUAUAUGUUGUUGUUGAUAAUGUGCCAAUAUACAUGUAUUAUCUAGCUUGGCAGAAUGCGUCAGAUCUAUUGGUAUUAACAUGAUUAAAUUAUUUGAUUGGCUUGUACGACGCCUAUAUACUUGUACUUGUACUUGUAUAUGGGUCCGUAUUUGUAAUAGAUAAUCCGUCAUGUGUACUAAUAUGUAUGUGAUGAAGCGUUAGUGAUUUAUUAUCGGUUGAGAGUUUGUAGUGCUGUGUAUUGAUUGCAGUGUAGUUAGUAUGGAGAAACUACAAAUUUUUCAACAACUAAUGCUAGUAUCUGACGAGAUACCUAACCUUCCGACCCGUCUUGAAACACGGACCAAGGAGGCAGAAUCUAGAGCAAGUUGGAGGGUGUAAAACCCGACGGCGUAGUGAAAGCAAUAGAUGAGAUCUACUAACUUUGGUUGGUAGCGCAUCAUCGGCCAGUCAUUAUACAAUGAUUGAGUUAGAGCUCUAGGUGCUGGACCCGAAAGAUGGUGAACUAUGCGUGAGCAGGGUGAAGCCAGAGGAAACUCUGGUGGAAGCUCGAAGCGAUUCUGACGUGCAAAUCGAUCGUUUGACUUGCGUAUAGGGGCGAUAGACUAAUCGAACCAUCUAGUAGCUGGUUCCCUUCGAAAUAUCCCUCAGGAUCGCUGAGACAAGUGAUAAACAGUUUCAUCGGGUAGAGCGAAUGAUUAGAGGAAUCGGGGAUAUAUUACUCUCGACCUAUUCUCAAACUAUCAACCGGUGAGAACAUUGUUUUUCUUGUUUGAAACAAUGUGUAUGAAUGUUGUUGUCUCAAGUGGGCCAUUUUUGGUAAGCAGAACUGGCGAUGCGGGAUGAACCGAGAGUCGAGCUAAGGUGCCUAAGGACACGUUGAUAGAUACCACAAAAGGAGUCGGUCGAUAAAGACAGCAGGGCGGUGGCCCUGAAAGUAGGAAUCCGCUAAGGAGUGUCUAACAACUCACCUGCCGAAUCGACCGGCCCUGAAAAUGGAUGGCGCUGAAGCGUGUCACCGAUGCUCGACCUCUACUACGAGAGAUGUUGGUAGAGGGUAGAAGGGCGCAGCGGUAGCGAUAAAGUACAAAGUGUAAACUUGUAUGGAGCUGCCGUUGGUGUAGAUCUUGGUGGUAGUAGCAAUUAUAAAAGUGAGUAAAAACCUUUUAGGCCGAAGUGGAGAAGGGUUCCACGUGAACAGCAGUUGGACGUGGGUUAGUCGGUCCUAAGCGGUUGCCUAACGGCUAUUUCAAUGCUGACUUGGUAAUUACGUGGUGAUUCAUGUAAAAAGUGAUGAACUGCGUAGUGUGACGUAGGUCAGAAUUCCGCGAAAGGGAAUCAGGUUAAUAUUCCUGAACCGGGCGAUGGAGACGCUUUUUGUCAGUAUUAUUCGUAAGAGUAGUGCUGCAAUUGGCUUAGCGGUAACGCAAACAAUCUCGGAGACGUUGAUAUCUAUGGCGGGGAGAAUUAUCUUUUCUGUAUAACAAGUCAACUACCUUGGAAUCGAGUCAUUCGGAGAUAAGGUAAUAAGCUUGGAAGAGCACCGCAAUUUUAUGCAGUGUCCGUACUAUAGAUAUCGGCCCUUGAAAAUCCGAGGGAGUGGUUAAAUUUCACGCCCGUCCGUACCGAAUCCGCAUCAGGUCUCCAAGGUGUGCAGCCUCUGGCACUGGAACAAUGUAGGUAAGGGAAGUCGGCAAAAUAGAUCCGUAACUUUGGGAAAAGGAUUGGCUCUAAGGGCCGGGCCAAUCGAGCUAGUAUUGCCUAGGCUAGUGGGGGUUGAACGGGGUCUGUCUAGAUGCAUGUAAAAGUGUUAUUUGGAUGGAUCUGGUGAAGCAAACGCUGGCCCUGGAAUACCUGUGUGAACUUGUGUUGGCAGAUUGAUUGUUGGUGUAGCAGUUUGCUUAAUUGUGGAUUGUUAUGCUGGCAAUUCGGGCUGUUGAUAGGGUUCUUUACGAGUGGCAAGCAUCGGUCAGCUUAGAACUGUUACUAACUAGGGGAAUCCGACUGUUUAAUUAAAACAAAGCAUUGCGAUGGCCGGAAACGGUGUUGACGCAAUGUGAUUU
rnacentral:rRNA from 1 species